GUGAAGGUCCGGAAGGAAUGCCUGCUCACCUCUGCUACCCUGGGUCUGUUCCCUGUCUAGAGAAAUUUUCCUUUCCUUCAAGUCCCAAAAUGGAAACGAUCAGUGCUCUACAAUAAGUGAAUGGUUAAACAAACGUGGUACAUCCAUCCCAUGAAUACUACUCUACAGUAAAAGGAAAGGAACUCUUGAUAUACCCAACAACUUGGAUGGAUCUCAAGGUCAUUAUACUGAUUUUUUAAAAAGCCAGUCUCCAAAGGUCACAAGGUGUUGGUCCUGAGGUUCAAAACAGAUAAGGAGUUUGGGCAAAGCCCACAGCUAUACAACGUAUAUGGAUUUCAAAAGCUAUAGACUAUGGUGGCCAAGAUACGGUAGCUGAAUUGAAGAAAGGGAAUGUAAUUAUAUUUAAUUUUGCUUGCUAAAAAGAAUGGCUAUGAUACGGCUUCUACUUAACGUGCUCUCCCCAGGCUUUGUGAAGAGGCGCUCCGUGUGUAUGCGUGUGUGCAUGUGCUCCGUUGUUUCUGACGCUCUGCGACCCCAGCCCUUGUGAAGAGGUGCUCCGUGCGUGUGUGCGUGCUCAGUCAUGUCUGACUCUUUGCGACUUCGUGGACUGUAGCCCGCCAGGCUCCUCUGUCCAUGGGAUUCUCCAGGCA
ensembl:lncRNA